rnacentral:misc_RNA from 1 species
GGAGGAUCCAAGCUCUCAAUUUAACAAGGCCUAAGCCCUUAACACAAAUAGAGAAAAUUAAACUUAGGUAAAAGCCCAACCUAGAGAAAUCUAGGGUAGCAGAAGGAGUCGAUUAAGAAGACUCGAUCCAAUAAUGUAACACCUCCAACCAAACAACCAUCACCACUGCAAUCAAUCUCCACCUUAGGGAUCCUUCAAAACAGAGGAG